CUUUGGAAUUAAAUGUCAAACCAAGGUACCGAAUGUAUACAUGAUAAGAAUAUUAUUUUAAAUCUAAAAGCAUUAAAACGCGGAAUGCACACAUGAUCCUUUUAUUAUUUAAGCAUAUCAAUUCAAGGUUCGGGUAUGAACACAUAGGCUAAUAUUAAAAGCACAUUUAAAUAAUUAGGCAUUAAAAUUUCAGAUCAUGAUGAAAAGAAAAAUCACACAUUAACUUAGAAGAAAUGACGUCAUAUUCUAAUUCACGAACAUAAAAAUGUAACAGUAUGAGAAUUGAACCUCAAACGGAAAUCCCCAACCGCAACCUCGAACUGGAAAGCUUCGAACUUUAACUCUUACCUCGCUGAAUAAAUGGUCUAUGGGAGCAUUUUG
rnacentral:lncRNA from 1 species